rnacentral:sRNA from 1 species
UUCCUCACUGCUGAGGGUCGUGACGUGA